CCCUGCAGGUGGAGCCGCGCCCCGGCCCCCGCGGGUGGACGCCUUGGGUGGCUGGGUGUGCCGGCGGGGGACGGAGGAAGGCGAUGGCCACCUGGGGAGUCGGCGGGGGGGCGCUAAUCAGCUGAGCUUUUCGGGGGCACCUUGGCCGCCCAGGUGCCGAAAUUAUGGAAGAGCGGCCCAAUGACCGAGAAUUCGAAGAGGUGGGGCCGAAGGGCAGCCACCGGAAGGACAGGCAGGGGAGGAGGGGAGCCGAAGGUGGCACAGCGGAGCACGGAAGACUUCAGAAGUGGGGAGAAGAGGUCGGGCAAGGGUCCCUUUCGUUGGUAGAAGAAGACAUGAGCGCCCUCAGCCAGAAAGGACUAGGGGGUAUUGCAGCAACGUCUGACCCUCCCCCUGCUGAGAGAAUGGGUCUCACUCACCCUCCAGCGCACCCCAAGUUGGCUGUACUUCUGAUCCGGCCAUGUGUACUCUGGGGACCGUGUAGACGGACCAGCCCCAAAUCUGGACAUCCUGGCAGAGGCCAAGGAGAGACAGGACCAUGAGUUCAUGCUCGCAGCUUCAUUGCCUCAACCUUAUUUUUUCAGCUCUACCUAGUUUCUUCAUUGAUCUUGAUGCUGAAAGAAAACAAUCAAUGGUGUCCCACCCCCCAGGACCUUUACCAGGAGCUGAUUGUAUCCAUCUCUUCCCAACUCCGUGUUCAGUGAUGUCACCGCAGCAGCUGGAAAUCAGCCAUGGGAGCAUUCAUAUCUCAGAAACCAACAACUGCUACAAUUCAAGACUUUUUCCCCCUUGACGAGACAGAGAGAGACAGUAAGAGCAGCGGACGGUCAGAGAG